UACGAAGGGGGCUAGCGUUGCUCGGAAUCACUGGGCGUAAAGCGCACGUAGGCGGACUCUUAAGUCGGUGGUGAAAUCCUGGAGCUCAACUCCAGAACUGCCUUCGAUACUGAGAGUCUCGAGCCGAGAGAGGUGAGUGGAACUGCGAGUGUAGAGGUGAAAUUCGUAGAUAUUCGCAAGAACACCAGUGGCGAAGGCGGCUC
rnacentral:rRNA from 1 species